rfam:Hordeum vulgare subsp. vulgare, WGS project CAJW01000000 data, contig: morex_contig_55109
CAUACACCCCCUCCGUCCGAAAAUACUCGUCAUAUAUAAGAAUGGAUGUAUCUAGAUGUAUAUUAGUUCGAGAUACAUCUAUUUUUAUAUAUUUGUGCGACAAGUAAUUUCAGAUAGAGGGAGUAGAAU